GCAGCGGUGUAGCAUAGUGGUAAGGCGCAAGGCUCAUAACCGAAAGGUUACUGGUUCAAUUCCGUGCUGGGGCC